AGUGGUUUUUGACAUUGAAAUGUGCCACCAUCACGGCCUUUGCUCUGAGUUUUGUACAUGUCUAUACAUGUGUGAGUGUUUGUACCUAUGCUUGUGUGUGGGAGGGGUACAUGUGUGUGGUGGGUGCCAGCAUAUGUGUGCAGGAGUGUUUAGGUCAGAGGACAGUCUCAAUUGUUCCCCAAGUGCCAUACACCUUGUUUUUGAGAGAGGAGCCCUCACUACCUGGAACUCAUCAAAUGGGGGUCUGACUUGCUAGGGAGCCCAAGGUACCUGCCUGUCUCCACCUCCCCAUUGCUAGGAUAGCAAGCAUACAACACCUUGCCCCGGCUUUUUUUAUAAAUGGGUUCUGGAAAUCAAACUGAGGCCUUCAUGCUUGCAAGGCAAGCACGUUGCUACUAAAUUCUCAUCCAGCCUACAACUUUGACACAUUUGUAUCCUUUCCUUUGAGUUUGGACCGGAACCAUCUCAGGUUUAAUAAUAACCUAUGAUUGUACAACGCCCAUCAUACUUCUUGCAUGGAAUCAUUAUCAUGUGUGAGGAAACAUGACCGUUGUCUCCAUUUUAUGGUGGAAUAAAUAGAGGCCCCAGAACCUUCUGAGGAAAUUAUAUGUACUGAUAGGAGGUUUUCAAACUGAUGCCCAAAGCUUUGCCAAUGUCGACUUUCCAGGUGAGCUCCUCUUGCUUGUGUUUGGAAACUGAGCUUGCUCAAGGCUGGUGUUAUAUAAACGUCAAUAACAUGGAAGGUGGCAGCCUGGGAUCACUUCCGUCCUCAGCUUCUUCUCUCUGAGUCCACCAAAUGGGAACCUGUGCCCUGGAUGUGCCAAAAGUCACAAGUUGCCUUCACACUCCACAGAUUCAAAGGAGAAACAUGACAGCCCCUAAACCAGCAUGGUUCUCAACCCUUUGGGGGUCACACAUCAAAUAUCCCGAAUACCAGAUACUUAAAUUACAAUUCAUAACAGUAGUAAAAUUACAGUUAUGAAGUAGCAAUGAAAUAAUUUUAUGGUUGGGGGUCACCACAACAUGAAGAGCUGCACUAAAGAAUCUCAGGACUUCUGUUAUGGAGGCAGAGUCUCAUGUGGCUAGGCUGGCCUCAAAUUUGGUUUGUAACCUAAGAUGGUCUUGGACUUUGGAUCCUCUUCUUGCUCGGGUAGCUGAUAUUCACCAUGAUGCCCAGCUCAUCCGUUGCUGGGAAUGGGACCCAGGGUUUCAUGCAUGCGGGGCAAGCACUCUUACCACCAUCCCCAGCCCAGGACACUGGCUUUCAAUUAAAUGUUUCUGAAAGCUUUCAAAAAACCUAAGUCUGUAUUAGAUAGUGUUUCCUCCUCCUCAUGAUUCUCUAUCCCAGCUCUCUCCUUCCACCACCUCAUGAUAGGCCCCGAAAGAAAUACCCUCUGGCCAGGCGCCAUCGAGAGCAUUGACUGUUUCUCUGAAGCUCUGCCUCUGUCCAGGAAGAAGCAUGGCUUCCCUAAGCCGUUAGCGAAUCAAAGCCUGAUGAAGACAGAGGGCUCAUACAUUGGGAUGAGUUAUUUUUGGCCCCUGACUUUGCACCAGUGCUAGUGAAAUUUCACAGCUGGUUAUUAGAAAGACCCGGCAUCCAGGUUACACGCCGCUUAUACCACAUGAAGCUGGAGGAAUAGAAUAAAGAUAGGAAAACAUUUUAUAAAUCGGCAGCUUUGGGGGUGUAUUUUUCUCUUCCCGGGCCUAGGAAGUGAUUUAUGGGACCUGAUGAGGUGCCGGGAGACAGGACCCCUCUGGCUCCCCUACUUAAUGGGCCAAGCACCUUCCCAAGUAUUGAUACAGCUGACCCAGCUAUGGCUCUUGGCAGGGUGAAGGGAGGGAGCCUGAGGAAACAUGAAUGAUUUAUGGAUUCUCAGAAAGUAGGGAGACAUGCAGGGAGAGACUGGAGUUGGUUUCCUCGAAAGGUAGAAAUGGCCAAUUCCUCAUGGGGGCAGCUCGCGGUAGCAACCUAACUUCACUUUUCUUGCUGUAAAUUUGAGGCAUCUGAGUGAUUUUUUUAAAAAAAUGCCAAAAUGAAUGGCCUCCUCCUAUGGCUUGUAAUGGUGCCAGCCCUACCCUCAAGUACAGGGCCUCGAUCCAGACACCCAAGUUCCUUUUACAGAGACCACCAGGAACCCAGAGCCAAGGCCUGCCAGGACAGCAGUGGACUCUGAGCAUGGGCUAUCCCUAAUAUCCUUCUCCACUCCUAUCUGUAAUACUGUAAGCAGAAAUAGGAUCCUAACCAUGUCAUUUCUCUCUGUUGGACAAUGGCAGGAGAGGGAACAGAGCAUUAAUGUCUAUGCUCAAGGCUUCUGAUACCCACAAACCAAAUGGGUGUGGAUUACGUAAUGUCGGGUGAAGAUGAAGGCCAGUACCAUUGUCCUUGAGGUGGAUAGAUGUCUGGGAGUGUGGGCUGUGAGGUUCCUCAUCUGGUAAAGCACUAGUUAGUCAAGCAAGCAUGAGCACCUAAAUUUAACCCCAGGACUAACUUAGUAAAGAACCACAGAGGCAGAGAUGGCCAGAUCCCUGGGGCUCACUGGCCGGUCACUCCAUC
rnacentral:lncRNA from 1 species